rnacentral:rRNA from 1 species
UAGGGAAUCUUAGACAAUGGGCGAAAGCCUGAUCUAGCCAUGCCGCGUGUGUGAUGACGGCCUUAGGGUUGUAAAGCACUUUCGCCAGGGAAGAUAAUGACGGUACCUGGUAAAGAAACCCCGGCUAACUCCGUGCCAGCAGCCGCGGUAAUACGGAGGGGGUUAGCGUUGUUCGGAAUUACUGGGCGUAAAGCGCGCGUAGGCGGACUAUUAAGUCAGGGGUGAAAUCCCGGGGCUCAACCCCGGAACUGCCCUUGAUACUGGCAGUCUAGAGUUCGAGAGAGGUGAGUGGAAUUCCGAGUGUAGAGGUGAAAUUCGUAGAUAUUCGGAGGAACACCAGUGGCGAAGGCGGCUCACUGGCUCGAUACUGACGCUGAGGUGCGAAAGUGUGGGGAGCAAACAGGAUUAGAUACCCCCGUAGUCC